CUUAGAGAGCUUGCUUUUUAAGCUUAGUGGCGAACGGGUGAGUAACGCGUGAGUAACCUGCCCUAGAGUGGGGGAUAACAGUUGGAAACGACUGCUAAUACCGCAUAAGCGCACAGAAUCGCAUGAUCUGGUGUGAAAAACUCCGGUGGUAUGAGAUGGACCCGCGUCUGAUUAGCUAGUUGGCAGGGCAACGGCCUACCAAGGCGACGAUCAGUAGCCGACCUGAGAGGGUGACCGGCCACAUUGGGACUGAGACACGGCCCAAACUCC
rnacentral:rRNA from 1 species